CCUUUUUUUAAAGUUGUGGUAUUAUUGGUUCUAUGCUCCCUGGAAUAUUACUGCUUUGUGAAAGUCCAGACUGAACGCAGCGCCCUCUUUGUACCUAGUACGUUAUAAACCUGGGUCUCUCACUACUUGAUAUUUUUGCAUUAGUUAAGACAGAAAUUUGAUAGCUCAGUUAGAGAGGAGGGAAAAUCUGCUGCUAGAAAUGUCUGAACUAAGUGCCAUACUUGUCUGGGUAAGAUUUGGGAAACAUAACCUCUGUACAUAAAAAAAGAAAAAAAAAAUCAGUUAAACAUCACAUAGUAGACAGCCUUAAACGCCAAAAGACAUUUUUGAACUGUACAUUUGAUCAGAUUGUUAGCUUUUUUCUGUUUUAUUUCUUUUGAAAACCUUUGAAUAAAAAACAUCUGAAAUUUUA
rnacentral:lncRNA from 1 species